UUUUAUUUUUAAAACACAGGAUGAGAUCUCUCAUUCUUUUCACAAGCACUAUUGUUGAGGAGUUGUAAAACAUGGACGUCUAACAAUUUUAACAUUUCUAAGAAUGUUUUUUGUAACUUUAGACAGAAGAAAAGCUAUUUGAGUUGAAAACUGAAAGUUGUAAUUGACAGAUAUCUUAGCCUGUAUCUGCUUUCAAAUUGGCCUUUGAACACUGUUAAAAUGUGGAUUAUCUGCUUGAAAUUAUGUCAAAGCAUUCAGCUCCUCGUAGAGGUGAAUAUAAUGUGUACAGCACCUUUCAAAGUCAUGAGCCAGAAUUUGAUUAUCUGAAAAGUUUGGAGAUAGAAGAGAA